GAUGAACGCUGGCGGCGUGCCUAAUACAUGCAAGUCGAGCGAAUGGAUUAAGAGCUUGCUCUUAUGAAGUUAGCGGCGGACGGGUGAGUAACACGUGGGUAACCUGCCCAUAAGACUGGGAUAACUCCGGGAAACCGGGGCUAAUACCGGAUAACAUUUUGAACCGCAUGGUUCGAAAUUGAAAGGCGGCUUCGGCUGUCACUUAUGGAUGGACCCGCGUCGCAUUAGCUAGUUGGUGAGGUAACGGCCGACCAAGGCAACGAUGCGUAGCCGACCUGAGAGGGUGAUCGGCCACACUGGGACUGAGACACGGCCCAGACUCCUACGGGAGGCAGCAGUAGGGAAUCUUCCGCAAUGGACGAAAGUCUGACGGAGCAACGCCGCGUGAGUGAUGAAGGCUUUCGGGUCGUAAAACUCUGUUGUUAGGGAAGAACAAGUGCUAGUUGAAUAAGCUAGCACCUUGACGGUACCUAACCAGAAAGCCACGGCUAACUACGUGCCAGCCGCCGCCGCGG
rnacentral:rRNA from 1 species